rnacentral:lncRNA from 1 species
GUACGAGGAUGACAACACCUAGCCAACCCGCGGAGAAGGCGGUCCUGGCACAGGCUAGGUGCCUUCUGACUGUUGGUUGAUGCAGGAAUAGACAUGAUCAUGUGACUGCUGCCCUCCCUCCAACCCCCAUCCAGCAGGGAGAGGCCCACUCUGGCCUCUGGAAGCCGGAGAAGAGGCUCACCUGCCCAAAGGCCUUCUGUCCAAAGUUCAAGGGAGCCCCACCCCUCCCAGAUGCUCAGCUCACCCCACCCCCAACAGGCAGGGCUACAGUGUGGUGGGCACUGCCACACCCGGACCUGCCACAACCUCUUGGAGUCAGUGACAAGAACCAAACGCACCCCAGCCUCCACCCCUCCCCUUUCCUGCUUUUAUUAUUUUCUUUUCCAUAAAGAUUAGUCUGUGUUGCUCCUCUAUCAAGGCCUGGAGGAUAAACAUGUGGUCCGGAGGCAGAGAAACCCCAGGCCUGAAGGCCCCACUGCCCCCACCCCAGCAGCAUAAACCCAGGGCUUUUAAGCAAGGAAUGGUUUUCAGUAAAUCUCUCCUAUCAGCAGAAACCUUUGAAAGAGUUUGUUUAAAGGCCAGGGAGAUAAACAGCAAGGAGAAGUGUUUGUUUAAGAUGUAUGUUCUGUGUGGCCACUCUGGGGCCCGGAUUUACAUCUCUGGGGAGAGGAACCACUCGGAGGCCAGGGUGGGGGCCUUCCAGGGGCACCUUGGGCUCCCGGUGUGGACUUCAGCCCAGGCAGGGACCCAUGAGCUCAGGGGAGGGAAGUUAGCUGGACUGCACUCACAGGCCUCUCCAGGCUUGGGGCAAGAAAGCAGGGGCUGAAAGGAGCUGCAGGAAGGGAAGAAGCCCUGUAAAGGAGGGGAGGGGUGCCUGGAAGGACCUGCUGGUUGGAAUGCAGGCAGAAAUCCCCUAGGAAGCCACCAAACACACACACACACACACACACACACACACACAAAGCUCAGAACAGGCUCAGGCUCAAGGCCCACCCCAAACAGCCUCAUACUCAGCAGCCCAAUACACAGCUGGGUAUGGCCAGCUCUGUGACCUUGGACAAGCCACCUAACCCAGAACUAGAGCCCUAGUUCCUCUCUGCUGUGAAAACAACACACCUGCCUCAAAGGGUUUUGAGUUUUCCUCCUGUCAUUUGACAGAUAUCGCUUGUACACCUACCGUAUGUCAGGCACUGUUCUAGGUGCUUGGGAUGCAACAGUAAACAAAAUACAGCCUCUGUCCUUUUGGAACUUAAAGAGGAGGAAGAUAGGCAAUGAGCACAAUAAUCAGUAAAUUAAAUACUCUUCGGAAGGUGACAUGAGCUAUAGAAAGAAAUAAAGCGGGUACAAAGACCUGGGAAAGGAUGGUUAGGUUGGACCUCCCAGAGAAGGUGGUCCUUCAAGGAGAUGCAGGUAUCUGAGGGGAGAGAAGCUCAGGCAGAACCCUCAGCCAGGGCAAAAGCCUGGAGGAUUGAAUAAAAUACCUUAGGGUAGGUGCUGAAGCAUAGUCCUGUGGUCAGUAAAUAACGUCCAAUGUUGUCAUUAUACUGAAGCAGUUACUGAGGCCUGGGAUGGGCAGGGAAGCCUUCAGGGAGGAUGCAGGACUUAAGCUGGGUUUUCCCUGGAAUUCCUUCUCCCUGCCAAGUGGAGAGAAAGGCCCUGCAGAAAAGCAUCAUGGAGGUAGAGAGACAGGAGAAUGAUGGCAGAGCUCAUUCCCCAAACCCAGUGGUGGCCAAGGGGUGUAGGGACCAACGCAGCUGGAUUCUCAAGGAAAGUCUUUGGCCUGGGUCAGGAGUCUGGGCUCCCAGUUCUGGCUCUGCCCCUUGCUGGCAGGUGAUUUGGGGCAAGUGAUUUGAAGCUUCUUGCGUCCUUCUUUUCUCUACGGUAAAAUGGGAAUAAUAUAUCCUCCCUUCAUUGAAUUGGUUGAGAGGAUGAAAAGAGAUAUGGGGCCAGGCGCAGUGGUGCACACCUGUAAUCCCAGCACUUUGGGAGGCCGAGGCGGGCGGGUUGCCUAAGCUCAGGAGUUUGAGACCAGCCUGGGCAACACAGUGAAAUCCCAUCUCUACUAAAAUACAAAAAAUUAGCUGAGCAUGGCGGCAUGAGCCUGUAGUCCCAGCUAUUUGGGAGGCUGAGGCAGGAGAAUUGUUUGAACCUGGGAGGUGGAGGCUGCAGUGAGCUGAGAUCGUGCCACUGCACUCCAGCCUGGGUGACAGAGCGAGACUCCGUCUCCAAAAAAAGAAAAAAAAGAAAAGAGAUAUGGUGGGUGUUUCUGCCUGGAACAUAGCAGAUGCUCAAUAAACAUUGGAUUUGCAUUUUGGGCUGUCCUGUGCCCUUUCAGACUCCUUUUGGGCACUUUCCUGAAAGGAUGAGCCAGAUGGUGAUGAGUCUACUGGGUCCCAGACUUGGAGGAGAAGACGACUAAUAGCUGAGCAUGGUCCCCACGUAGCUGAAGGGCUGUCCCGCCAGAGAAAGCCUAGAUUUGUUCCAAAGGGGCUCCAAAAGGAAGGAAGAAGUUUCACGGACACAGAUUUUCAUUUGCACUCAGGAGGAAUUUGGCAAUGGUCCGGGCUAUUUAACAGCAGGAUGGACCUCUAUAGAGACAGCUAGCUCGUGCUAUUAGGAAUUGUGUGGGCAGAGGUGGCUGAG